rnacentral:lncRNA from 1 species
UAGUACACAUACAUAUACUAAACAUUAUAUGUAGUACUAGCAAUAAGAAAGAAUAAAAAUCUAAUAAUACUUCUAUAGAGUUUGUGAUCAAUACUUUUACUAUUCUCAUCUUUGUCAAGUUUAUAUGAAGAGCUCAUAGGCAUGCCAAGAGGAUCUUUGAUGAGAAAAAAAUUUAGCUCUCCUAUUAUACUCAUCUCAAACUCUCUCUGCAUUAACUUUGAGAAUUCUUGACAAAA